AGUGAACGCUGGCGGUAGGCCUAACACAUGCAAGUCGAACGGCAGCACAGUAAGAGCUUGCUCUUACGGGUGGCGAGUGGCGGACGGGUGAGGAAUACAUCGGAAUCUACUUUUUCGUGGGGGAUAACGUAGGGAAACUUACGCUAAUACCGCAUACGACCUACGGGUGAAAGUAGGGGAUCUUCGGACCUUGCGCGAUUGAAUGAGCCGAUGUCGGAUUAGCUAGUUGGCGGGGUAAAGGCCCACCAAGGCGACGAUCCGUAGCUGGUCUGAAAGGAUGAUCAGCCACACUGGAACUGAGACACGGUCCAGACUCCUACGGGAGGCAGCAGUGGGGAAUAUUGGACAAUGGGCGCAAGCCUGAUCCAGCCAUACCGCGUGGGUGAAGAAGGCCUUCGGGUUGUAAAGCCCUUUUGUUGGGAAAGAAAAGCAGCAGGUUAAUACCCCGCUGUUCUGACGGUACCCAAAGAAUAAGCACCGGCUAACUUCGUG
rnacentral:rRNA from 1 species